rnacentral:misc_RNA from 1 species
GAGACAAGCAUAUGACUACUGGCAGGAUCAACCAGGUAGCAUUCCUUCACGACRCCGACGCCCGCACGAGCGCCUCGAGCCGCGAGGCCGAGGGCCCGAAGACGAGCGCGGCGGUCGUUCAUGUCGUUGGACAAAAUGCGUUGCUUGGGCAAAAAGGAGGCCAAGAGACCACCCACCCGCGCAUAAUAUUCCGCAUCCGAGAGCACGGGCAAAGCGCCUCACGGGCCAAGGCAACCACGCAACUGGGCGAGGCGUGCCAGGAACACGAGGCUUGCCUAACGUCCACCCCAACACCUGCGAGGGCGUGGGGCGGAGAGGAACAAACGAACUACCGAAUUCCUUCGGGUAGGUAAGCAACACAGGAUACCGAA